rnacentral:rRNA from 1 species
AGUCGUAACAAGGUCUCCGUAGGUGAACCUGCGGAGGGAUCAUUACACAAAUAUGAAGGCGGGCUGGAACCUCUCGGGGUUACAGCCUUGCUGAAUUAUUCACCCUUGUCUUUUGCGUACUUCUUGUUUCCUUGGUGGGUUCGCCCACCACUAGGACAAACAUAAACCUUUUGUAAUUGCAAUCAGCGUCAGUAACAAAUUAAUAACUACAACUUUCAACAACGGAUCUCUUGGUUCUGGCAUCGAUGAAGAACGCAGCGAAAUGCGAUAAGUAGUGUGAAUUGCAGAAUUCAGUGAAUCAUCGAAUCUUUGAACGCACAUUGCGCCCUUUGGUAUUCCAAAGGGCAUGCCUGUUCGAGCGUCAUUUGUACCCUCAAGCUUUGCUUGGUGUUGGGCGUCUUGUCUCUAGCUUUGCUGGAGACUCGCCUUAAAGUAAUUGGCAGCCGGCCUACUGGUUUCGGAGCGCAGCACAAGUCGCACUCUCUAUCAGCAAAGGUCUAGCAUCCAUUAAGCCUUUUUUUUCAACUUUUGACCUCGGAUCAGGUAGGGAUACCCGCUGAACUUAAGCAUAUCAAUAGAAGUAAAAGUCG